rnacentral:rRNA from 1 species
AGAACGAACGCUGGCGGCAGGCCUCAAACAUGCAAGUCUAGGGGGUGUAGCAAUACAUCACCGGCGGACGGGUGCGUAACACGUGGGAAUGUACUUACUGGUACGGAACAACUCAGGGAAACUUGAGCUAAAUACCGCAUAAGCCCGAAAGGGGAAAGAUUUAUCGCCAGUAAAUCAGCCCGCGUCCGAUUAGCUAGUUGGUGGGGUAAAGGCUCACCAAGGCUCCGAUCGGUAGCUGUUCUGAGAGGAAGAUCAGCCACACUGGGACUGAGACACGGCCCAGACUCCUACGGGAGGCAGCAGUUGGGAAUCUUGGACAAUGGGGGAAACCCUGAUCCAGCCAUGCCGCGUGAGUGAUGAAGGCCUUAGGGUUGUAAAAACUCUUUCGACGGGGACGAUAAUGACGGUACCCGUAGAAGAAGCUCCGGCUAACUUCGCGCCAGCAGCCGC